CCAGGCAGGACAGUCACACUUUCCUGUGUUUUCUCCCCAGCAACCCAAAGGUCCAGGUGGAAGCUGUUGAAGGAGGAGCCCUACAGAAGCUACUGGUCAUUCUGGCCACAGAGCAGCCUCUCACUGCCAAGAAGAAGGUAAAUUUCUGCCCCUCCCUUCAGCCCAGCACACCUGGGGUCUGAAAGGAAAGGCUCCCUUUUCAGUACUUGCAAUCCUUGGGGCUUGAGCUUCAUCCAUGGGAUUGUGUAGAGAAGUCAUGCUCAACUAAAACAGAUGGCAGUGUGUUGAGGUGUCUGGAGGCUUGGGUGCAGCUCCUGCAGGGCGGCUUUGGGCCCCUUCCCCAACUUCCUGCCCUGGGCUUCCGUUUACUCACCAUUUGUCUGCUUGGUGAUAUAAAAUGUAUCUGAGGUCUCUCUUGGCACUCACAAUCCCGAGUUCUGGUGUAUAGUUGGACCCAAGGGGAUUGGGGAGUCAGGACCCAAGGGCUGGGCUGGGUCAUCAGGUCACCUCCAGCUGCCUUUUCUGGGCUUUGAGGUAGGUCCAACUCUGUAGGACCCCUCACAUGUCCUGCCUGUGCCUCCUAGGUCCUGUUUGCACUGUGCUCCCUGCUGCGCCACUUCCCCUAUGCCCAGCAGCAGUUCCUGAAGCUGGGGGGACUGCAGGUCCUCAGGGACCUGGUGCAAGAGAAGAGCACGGAGGUGCUGGCUGUGCGUGUAGUCACCCUGCUCUAUGACCUGGUCACUGAGAAGGUGAGUGCCUGGGCCUGCCCUGCCUCCUCUUCACUUUGCUUUUUGUUUCCCUCUGGCCAUUCAACUCAGGUCUUCUCCCAAAUUUUUUCUGUUCCAUCUCUCUGUCCAGAUGGAUGGAUGGAUUGAUGGAAGGAAGAAAUGUGGGACAUUGGGGAGGAGGUCCUGUGGGGUGUUGGCACCUCAGCUGAAACUUGAGGGUAGGUGAGAGGAGAUGCUGGCAGUAGUCAAGACCAAACAUGCAGGCAAGGGUCAGCACAACUGAAGGCCAGAAAUAGCCAUGGGGCUGGGGUUGUAGCUUAGGAAUAAAGCACUUGCCUAGCACAGGUGAGGCCCUGGGUGAUCAGGGAGACAGGGCCAUGACAUCUUUCUGCAAACAGUAUGGACAGGGCCAUCCUCCUCUAGGGAGGACAGUGGAGGGCAGAGGGAUUUUGAGGUGAAGUGGGUAGGCUUCUUUCUUGAGGUUCCUAAGGAAGAAUGAAGAGCUCUCCAGAUGCUAGCUUACCUGCAGGGCUGCUGUGUACCACAAGGCAUUGGUUGGAGAGACAGCAGUUGAAUUAGGGAAUUCCUUGGGAAGUGUGGACCACCUCUUCCCCAGACCCUCUGCUUUUCCUUCUUGGACAAUGGAGAUUCUUCCAAGUGACUGAGCCUUGGUGUCUGGGCUCUAGCAGAGGUGGGCAUUUGCUUGAGGUAGUGAGCCUUUGUCCUCUGAAGUGUGCAUUGGGACUGACCUGGCCUGAAACUCCUUCCACAGUGUUCACUAGGGGUCUAUCCUGCCCAAUGCUGGGCCAGGUGCUGGGGGAAUAGUCUUUGGCCCAUGUCUUCCCAGGGCUUCCAGAGAGAUGUUUGUGAGAGAAUCUUCACAGAACAUGUAAGCCUAUGGUCAUGGGAGGCAGGUACAGUGGCAUUGAGCUCUGAGGGGUGAGAGGAGCUCCCUGGAGUUGGGGUUGUGUGGUUAUACACCCUGACACAGGAGCUGCAGCUAUAAAGGCCCUGGGGGGCAGGAGUGGCAGCAGGCGCUGGAGUAAGGGGCAGAGGCCUAGCCCAGGCAGUGCUUGAUGUCUUAGGGAAGAGGUUUAAGGAAAUGCCAGGUGGAAGAGCUUGGGGCUGGCAGCCAUCAGAGGACUGGAAGAGGCAGGUUGGGAGCACGAGGGGGGGGCUGCAGACAUUCAGCAAGGAAUAGGACGUGUGUGGAGGCAGAGGGAGGAUUGGGUUGUGUUUGGGAGGUAGAGCUGGCAGGACUUUUGAGGAUAGGGUAGAAAAGUACCUCAGUGUCUCUCUCAGCCUUUCUUGUCCCUCUUGCUCCUCUGUGGCUUCCUUUCCAGCCCCCAGUAGACCAUGGCUUUAUGCUACCACGGGCAUCAUCAGGUGGUCCACCACUAUCCCUGGUCUUUGCCUGGGUAUCCCUCUUGCCUUGCCCAUCCUCCCAACUCUCCAUCUCCCCUUGGGUCAGAACAGGGUUUCCUGCCUUUUUUUUCUUUCUCUCACAGGUACAUUUAGUGCAACUGUAAGGGAAGUCUUUCCAGCCUCCCUGAUAUUUGAAAUAAGCUGAGUACUUGGCUGGCAACCUGGAAGGCUUGGUUUCCACCAUAUUCUAUUGAUAGAGCCAAGGCUUUGCAUUUACAGACACAGGCUGAGCAUGUGACUCCCUGCCCAAACUUUUCCCAACUCCCCUGUCCCUCAGCAUAAAGGCCACUCUCCUUAGAGGGACAUUCUUAGAGGUCUCUGUGUUCAGGGACCCAGUCCACCCUUGGGACCCUGUUCCUGUGUGACCAGUACCAUGUGCCAUUCUUAAAACAUGAGGUUUGUCCCAGGAUUACUGUCACAGUCCUUCCAUGUGGAUAGGCCCUUCAUCCUGUCCCCUUGGACAACUCCUGCUUACCUAGGAAUCAGAGCAAUUACAUCCUCUGCUGUCCUCCAAGUCCUGACAGCAGCAGUCACUCCCUCAAGCACCAGUAGAGGGACAAUGAUGACCAAUAAUAAUGCCGAUAGAGCCAGUAUUUGGUGUCAUUGUACUUGGUAUGGAAGCUACAGUUGAGUGUGCUGGGCACUGGCUGCACUCUCAUUUUUCCACUAGAGUGAGACUCUAGUGACUCCGCUUGAGAGCUAGUGGCCUUGGGUCUCGCAGAGGCUAAGGGCCAGCCUGCACUUAUUCAGCUAGUCGUUAGUGGAGCAGAAUUUGAACUCAGCCUGUCUGCGCCUGCGCUGCACCACAAGGGUAAACUCAUCAUGCUAUUUAGGAAUUAUUUUUCUGCAAGAACCUGGGAGCCAGGACCAUGUCCCCAUCUUGAUUUCCCAGCACCUGGCAUAGUGCACAAGAGAUAUGGUAAGUAGAUGAAUGGGUGGAUGGACAGAAGAGGGACACACAGAUAGAUGGAGAACUUAUGUAAAGCCAGGAAUCCAGUUGACCUCCCAGGAAAUCCUUGGAGGCCCAAAGGAUAGACAUAGACAGCAGGUGGGCCUCCUGGCUUACCUCAGGCCUUGGCACCUGAAAGGCAGAGACAGUUUGGGACAAGCUGAUUGCUCUCUGUGUUUUCUCCCUGCCAUCCCACCCUACCUGGUGCAUUGCUGUAUGGAUGGCAGAUGUUUGCAGAGGAGGAGGCUGAGCUGACCCGCGAUACAUCCCCAGAGAAGUUGCAUCAGUACCGCCAGGUGCAUCUCCUGCCAGGCCUGCGAGAACAGGGCUGGUGUGAGAUCACAGCCCGCCUCCUGGCUCUGCCAGAGCAUGAUGCGCGCGAAAAGGUGCUUCAGACGCUGGGAGCCCUCCUGGCCACCUGUCGGGACCUCUAUCAUCAGGACCCCCAGCUCAGCAGGACACUGAGCAGCCUGCAGGCUGAGUACCAGGCACUGGCUGCCCUGGAGCUCCAAGAAGGGGAGGAUGAAGGAUACUUCCGAGAACUGCUGGCCUCCAUCAACAGCCUGCUGAAGGAGCUUAGAUGAGACUCUGGCCCUGAUGCCAGGACUGGACUGAGAUUCUGCUAAUGAGGCUGAGGGCUCCCAGCAAGGUAGUCCUCCAGGGGACAUCAGGCAGGAGGGAAGAUUUCCCUACUGGGGCAUGAACUUCACCAGGGCAGGGCUGGCUUGGCCAUUAAAUGAAGACAUGAAGGCUGUGGUCUGUCUUCCACGUUUCUGUGUAGACUGGGCUCAGCCUGUAGCUGGGUUCCAUGCUUUGGAGGCCUCAAGGGUAAAUGAGUCUCUGGGUAAUGGGCCCCUUGUGACAUGUUGCAUGGUCAAUAUGGCCAUUCACUGAGAGACUCCAUAGGAAAGAUUUGGGCUCAGGAGUUGGAAAACUCUGGCUCUUUACCAUGCAGUAGCUCUGUGACAUUGGGAAGUCACUUAACUCUUUGAACUUGUUUCCUCAUCUGUCAAAAAAGAGUUUCAUUACAGGGAAGAGAAUGUGCACAAAGCACUACACCAGUGCCUGACACCCAGGCUUGCCCUGUCCUCACCUCAGCAAUGAGGGAAGGUCUGGGGGAUCAUCUCACCACCCCCUCUAUCUGAGCCCAUGAAGCAGCUUCAAGGCUACCGGCACUGGUGAAGCCCUAGGGCAUCUCCACACAAGAUGCUGUGCCAGCCAGGCAGCAGAUGGGGCUAGAGCUGCUGGAGCCAUUAGUGCUGGGGCAUGGGUGGUGGAAGGGCACUGUGGGUUGUUGGUGGGAUUCUGGAGGCCCUUGGGUGGAAGUCUUACUCUGGGAAGAGAGCGAUCUCGCUACAGCUAGUAGAGGGAACCCAAGAAAGCCAUGCCACCCUUCUGUCUGUGCCCUUGUCCCUCCUCUGUGUUCUGGCCUGUGCCAGGCCAGCCUGAGAAGGAGGCAGGGGCAGCCAAGCCUGGCAAAUCAGGCCCAGCCCCCACUCCAGCAAGGCUGAGCACCAGGCUGGGAGCUGCUGCAAGUUGCCAUGGCAACCCCAGCUCUGGGCUUUCCUGAUUUGGAUUCUGGUGCAUUUGUUUUUCAGCCUUUCUCAAUGCACCAGAGGCUCACUCCCGCUGGCUCAGGCAGCCCCUCCUGGCCUCCAGUCAGGAAGUCAGGAAGGCCAGUGCAGGCCACGCCUCUCCUCUCCCUGACAUCAGUUCUAACUUAUAGAAAUCUCAGCUUCACUGAGCUGAGGGGAAACUGAGGCCCAGAGAAACAUGAGAUAAGUGGGUAGCCUCAUUCCUUGUAGUCCCUUUUCUGGUUCUUCUCUGCCCAUCUCUUGCCCACCUUCCACUAUGCCCAGGAAUUAUGGGGAAGAGGUGUGCAGAGCUGCUUCCAGGGGAGCAGGAGGGAGCAGGAGUCCAGGCUAACUCUUUGGAGGGACAGUUUCCCCAGAUGGGAUGCCUCUAGGCUUGGGCAUACUGGGCAUCAGCCUUGCAGUCUGCCAACUGUUGGGUACCACUGCCUUUCAGCCUUUAAAGUCUCUCCCAGCCUCGGGGAUGUAUUCUACAGAGGUGGCUUGGGAGACUAAAUGAUCUGCCUGAGAUCAUACAGCUUGAGUCCAGAGCUGGGACGUGCUGCGCCAACUAUGCUGCAGAAGGCUGUGUGCAGCUAGGGGAACAGUGUUCACAUUGACAGGCUGUAGAAACAAGCCCAGGAGAGAUGGCAUAGCUGCUGUGGCCACCCAGAUGGGACACAGUUCAGAAAGGUCAUGCUGGGUCCUGGCCAAAGCCAAGGUCAGACAUUCUGGAGAUGAUGUCAGCAGAGUGGAACUGAGAGGGGGAUGAUGCUACCCAGGCACACAGCCCUGGGAGAGGGGAGGCUUGAGGUUGCUGCUGGGUAUGAGCCUGGUCCAGGCUUGUCCUUGCAGAGGUGAACACUGAGAUGUGGAGCAGAUGCAGGCCUUGAACAAGGGCUGGCAAGAAUAUAGGAGCUGUAUGAGGCCCCUGGGGUGGUGGCAGGACAAGGCUGGGGCUAGAGAUCCCGGAGCCCACGAGGCCUCUACAACCACCAGGGGCUGAUCUGGGGGCAUAAAAAAGGGUUCCCAUGAAAGGAAUGCCACUAGUACAGGUCCAAUUGAAGUCUCAGUGUCUCCUCUGCCUUCACAUAUGUUCACAAAAUAGCAUAUCUGUACCGCCAGGGGAGACUCAGGCCAUGAGCUGUGGGGGAUCUCUGGAACAGAGGAAGGAGCACUGGGGAAGAGCCAGGCCACUGAGCUGCAGGCCCGUUGGGGCACUGCUUCACCCUCUUAACCCCAACACAUCCUCAGACAGGGCAUCAGCGGGGGAAGGUCAGUCUGCAACCUGUUAGGCCCAGGAGAAAAUCCAAUGAUGCCUUCCAAGGAGUUGGGCAGCAAGUGAGCCAGGGUUCUGGCUUGGGUUGCUUGGGGGUGAUUCUGGUCCUACCAUCCAAUUCAUUGUUCAUUGUCAUCUGCAGGUCUGGAGGGACCCCCUUUUCUGCCUUUCCUUUGGGUGCCAUCCUGGAAACUGGCCAAGGAGUGCAGCCUGGGCCUGAAGUUAGGCAAGGAAUGGUAAUGGGGGCUGUAACCGCCAGAAUUUGGUUGAUGUGACUUCUUCCUGCCUGGGUCCUGUCUUUUCUCCCUGUCACAUGUUGGGUUCACAGGAUUCUUGUCCUUAUGUCCAGGAGUAGACUGAGCUAUGGCUGGCUUACACCCUGAUUGUUGGUACCCUGCUCCUGGACUGGGCUGAACCAGGCCCUCUGGGAGGCUGAAAGGCAUGGGGACUGGGGUGUAGGUGAAGGUGAAGGUCCCCACUCUGUCUCUCAGCAGUCUCAGUUUUUAUUAACUCACUGUCCAUUCAGCCUUUCAUUCAGAUUCUAUCGAUUAUGCAUUAGUACAUGUUGGGCCUCAAGACUCUGAGGUUAGUAAGUUACAGGUCUUGCCGUCUGGGAGCUAGGGUGGGAGGCGCAGUAUGACGUAUGCCGUGGUGGAGCUAAGGAAGCCCUGGACCUAGUGGAUGGGUCAGGGAAGCCUCCCUGAGAUGAUGAUAAUCAAACUGAAACCUGAGGAGGCUCAAAGGACAAAUCAGGUAGGUAGGGAGGGGAUUUCAGUCCCAGAAGAUGCAGGAGGGCCUGAGGGGGGAGUGUGGUCCAUUCAAGGAACCCAUGGGGUAAUUGUUGCUGGAGGAAGUGGUGUGGUUGAGGGGCAUGUGGCCCAAGGUGGAGUCACAUGGGUCAGUGGUGACCAUGUCCUCCAGGGCCCUGUCAGCCUUGCCAAGGGUGUACCCUCAUCCUGAUAGCAUGAGGAAGUGGGGGCUCUAGGCAUCCCCUGGUUGCUGCUCCUUCAUUCAUUCCUUCCACACAUGAUGGAGGACUGCUUCAGGCCAGGCCCUCAUCUGUGUGACAAGCAAGCCUUCAGUGUGAGGCCAGGUGAAUGCCAGGGCACUAAAGGUCAGCAAAACACCACAAAGGGACCAGGAUGCCAGAAAGGCCUCUGCAGAGUUGCUGUGUGAAGGAAGCAUAGUGGAAACCAUGGGGGAACCUGAGCAAGUGCUUUGUUGACCAAGGGUGAAGCGAGAGCAAGGUCCUCAGGCUGGAACGUGGUUGGGGCAUUGCAAGAAAAGAGGUGAAUCAGCAGGAGGGAGGAAUGUGGGCAAGGAAGAGCAGGCUCACAGGCUGUGGGGAGGAAUUUGGGGACAGAGGAGAGACCUGCUGGGACAGUAUCCCUCUUGUCAAAUGGUGAGAGGAGAUGAUGGAGGCCAGGACAGAGCCUGGAAACAGGUGCAGAUUCCAGUCAGUUUGGUGGGGGCCAGGGUGGUGGGGGAGCAGGCCUCAGCUACAAGCUUGGUGUUAAAUAUAGCUGAGGGGAUCCCUGGCUGGAUGUGGCGUGUGAGGCAAGAGGCAUCAAAGGACACAGCUUCACUUUGGGCUUCAGUGAAGGGUAGGUGGAGGUGUAACAAAAAUAGGGAAGGUAAAAGAGGAUGGGAAAGGAUUGGGCCUUUGUGUGGCAUGGUUUGUGUGUUUAUAUCAAGGUGUCCAUAGGACAUUCAAAUGGGAUGUUGAACAGGAAGCUGGGGCCAGAGUCUGGAGCCUUGGAAAAAAGUCUAGGGGAAAAAAAGGGCCAGACACCAUGUGUGAGAGAGUCCUGAGGAUUAGAAGUGUGGUGAACUGGUUGUUAAAUAUAGCUCUUGUCUUAAAAAAUAUAUAUAUAUAUAUAUAUAUAUAUAUAUUUAUAUAUAAACAAAUUAUAUAUAUAUAAACUUAUGAUUAAAUAACAGAUUAAAAAGCAAAGGUAAAUUUAAAAAAACUAGUAAAAGAAGCAAAUUAAACCCAUUGAAUGCAAGAAAAAGAAAUAAUGAGCAGAAACCAAUAAAAUCGAAGAUGGAAAAGCUAGAGAAAAUCAAUGAAAAUAAAAGAUGGUUCUCUGAAAAAGAAGGAAGACACAAAUCACCAAUAUCAGGGAUGAAAGAGGGAUAUCACUAUGUAUGGACUCAGAGCAUUAAAAAGAUAAGUGAAUAUAUUACAAACAACUCUAAAUAAGAAAGUUGUAAAAUCAGUUGACAACUUAGAGGAAAUAAUGGACCAACUCUUUGAAAAACACAGUUUUUCACUGUUAUCAGUUUCUGUUGCUACUCUAACAAAUCAUCAUGAACCUGGUGCCUUAAAAUGCCUUGAUUUACUUUCUUACAGUUCUGUAGGUUAGAAGUCUGCCACAGUUCUCAUGAGGCAAAAACCAAGGUGUCACAGGGCUGCAGUUCUUUAUAGGCUCUGGGUAGGGGCCACCUCCCUGUCCUUUUCAGUUUCUUGUGAAAAUUUCUUGCCUCAGAGGCUUUCCUUUACUGUCACCUUGCAAAAGCAAGUCAAAUUCUUUUUAUGACAUCAUUUAAACUUUUUUUUUUUUUUGGUACCAGAUUGAACCCAGAGGUACUUUACCACUGAGCCACAUCCCUGGCCCUUUUAUUUUUUAUUUUGAGACAGGGUCUCACGAAGUUGCUUAGGUCCUUGCUAAAUUGCAGAAGCUGGCUUUGAACUUGGGAUCCUCCUGCCUCAGCUUCCUGAGCUGCUGGAAUUGUAGGUGUGCACCACUGCACCUGGCUCAUCUCCCUAUCUUAAAAUCAAUUUGCAACCUUGAUUCUGUCUACAUCCUUAGUCCCCCUUUGCCAGGUAACAAUGUAGCCACAGGUUGCAGGGAUUAGGAUGUGGACACCUUUUGGGGAGCCACUGUUCUGCUCACCCCAAAUACAAACUGCUAAAACUCACUCAAGACAGAUAACUAGUAGAAUCCCCUAUCAAUUAGAUAAACUGAAUUCAUAAUGUCUUUCUACAAAGGAAACUCCAGACCAGAUGUUUCACUAGCAAAUUCUACCAAAUAAUAUGGAUUCCAUACAGUCUGUAGAAGAAAACACUUGCAAAGUCAUGACACAAGGCCAGCAUCAUGAAUAUCAAUAUAUUUUCCCCAAGUCCCUAAAUCCUUAGCAUGGAAGUCCAACAAAAUGUUGGCAGAUCCAAUGCAGCAAUGUAUAAAAGUUGUAAGCAAAUGGAGUUUAUCCUAAGCAAGAGAGAUUAGUUCAGCUCAAGUUACCAUAUUCCCAGAUUAAAGAAGAAAGGCCAUUAGUACAAAUGUGGUGUAUAAAGAAAGUGAAAGGAAAAUGUGAGGAUUCCAUUAAAAUAGAAGAAGGGAUUGAGAGGGAAUGAGAAGGGACUGGACAAGGAAAGAGCAGUGGAAUGGAUCUGCCCAGCUUGUCUGUGUACCUGUAGGAAAGCGCCACAGCGAGUCUUCACCAUCGUGUACUUCCACGAGACACUGACUAGACAAAAGUUAAUUAAAAUAAAUAACAAAGACUAGUAGAAAAGAGGGGAAGGAAAGGAGAAGUACUGGGGACUAAAUUAGAGCAAAUUAUAUUCCAAUCCUUAUCUCAAGAUGAAUCCUAAUAUGUAUAACUAAAAAGAGCAAAGAAAAAGGAGAAGAGCCUUACGAUCAUCUCAAGAGAUGCAGAAAAAAAUUGACAGAGCCCAAUAUUCAUUCACUUCACAUGCUCUCAGCAAAUUAGGAAUAGAGGAGAAUUUCCUUACCUCCUGAAGGGAAACUACAUAAAAACCUGCACCUAACAUCAGGCUUAGUGGUGAAAGACUGAAUUCUUUCCCCUAAGAUCCAGGACAAGAGUGAUCUGUCUCACAAUUUUUUUUUUCAAUAUUGUGCUGAAAGUCCUGGAUGGUGCCUGAAGGCAAGAAGAUGAAAUAAAAGCAUAAAAGAAGAAAUAAAACUCUGUUCACAGAUGACAUAUCAAUGUAGAAAAUCUCAUAGAAUCUGCAAAAAAUAUACAGCUAGAGUUUAGCUAGGUCAUAGGAUAUAAGGUAUACACAAAAAUCAAUUCUAUUUCUAUAUACUAGUAACAAACAAGAAGAAAUUAAAAACAGUACUAGUUAUAAUAGCAUUGAAAGUGAAAUAAUAGUAGGAUUUUAUGCUGAUACAAUAGGCGCAAGAUGUUAUGCUGCAAACAACAAAUAACUGAUGAAAGAAAUCAAAGAUCUAAAUAAAGGAGGAGCUAUAUUGAGUUCAUGGGUUGGAAGACUCCAUAUUGUUGAGCUAUCACUUCCCACAAAAUUGAUCUAUAGAUUCAAUGAAAUUCCAAUAGGAAUUUUUAAAUGUCAAGAAAAUUUACAUGGAAACACAAAGCAACUAGAAUAGUUAAGACAAUUUUGAAAAAGAGGAACAAAGUUGGGGAGACUUACACUAGCUGAUUUUCAGACCAUAAAACUAGUAAUCAAGAAAGUGAGGGGCUGGAGAUAUAGCUCAGUUGGUAGCUUGCCUGCCUCACAUGUACAAGGUGCUGGGUUCAAUCCCCAGCACACCCCCCCAAAAAAAAAAAGAGUGAACCUGGUGUGAUGGGUGUCAUCUCAGUGAUUUGGGAGGCUGAGGCAGGAGGAUGACAAGUUUGAGGUCAGCCUUAGCAAUAAUGAGACCCUGCCCCAAAAUAAAAAGGACUGGGGAGGUAGCUAAGUUGUAAAGCACCCCUUGUUCAAUCCCUAGUACCCCCUCCAAAAAAAAGUGUGGCCUUGGUCAAAGGAUAGACACAUAGGUCAAUAAGUUACACUAGAAUUUAGAAAUAGACCCACACAAAUAUGGUAGUCCCCCUUUAUCCACAAAGGAUGUGUUCCAAGACCCCCAGCAGAGACCUAAAACUAAUGGUAGUACCAAACACUCUAAUCCUACGUUUUUUGUUUUAACCAAGCACUUCUCAUACACUGUGGUUAUAACUUGAAGUUUUGAGGUGUGAUAGCAAAAUCAAUACAAAUUUCUCUAAUAGGAUUCAUUUUAUUAUAGAUCUUAGCAAAUUCAAUGUUUUGUUUUUUAAUUGAGAACUUUCACCCUUUUACUUUAAGGGAGUACUUUAUACCUUCUCUGUGACAUAUUCAGAUUGCCAGCAUCACUACUGUUACACUUUGGGGCCAUUAUUAAAUAAGUGUUACAUGAGCACAAGCACAUGACAGUUGAUCGGAUGACCACAAUGGCUACUAAAUGACUUAAUAGGCAGGUAGUAUAUACAGUAUGGUUACACUGGACAGCUUGGUCAGGAUGGAUCUGGAUGGUGCAAGAUUUUAUCAUGCUACUCAGAAUGUCAUACAGUUUAAAGUUUAUGAAAUGUUUGUUUCUGGAAUUUUCCAUUUAAUAUUUUUGGACCAUGAUGGACCAACGGUAACUAAAACCACAGAAAGAAGAACUACAGAUAAAGGGAAACUACUGUGUAGUUAAUUGGUUUGUUUUUGUUUUCAUGUCAGUUGGUUUUUGAUGAAAGUGCAAAGGCAAUUCAAAGUAGAAAGGAUUGUUUUUUCAAUAAAUGGUGCAAUUGGAGAGUUGUAUUUUUUAAAAUGAGCCCUGACCUGUAUACCUGAUAUCUUGUACAAAAUUUAACUCAAAAAUCAAUCAUAGACCUAAAUAUAAAAUGAUAAAACAUAAGAAAACAGGAGAGAAAUCUUUGAGACCUGGAGUCAGAGUUCUCAGAACAUCAAACUCACCAUUCAUAAAAUGAAAACAUUGAUAAAUUGGAAAAACUUUUAUUCCAUGAAAGAAACUGUUAAGAGAAUAAAAAACUUGUUACAACCAGGAAAAUAUUUCAAAUCAGAUAGUUGACUAAGUAUGUAAGAAAAUCACCAGUAAGAAAAUACCCAACCCAAUAAAAACUAGGCAAAAGAUUUGAAAAGACAUUUCACCAACAAAGAUACAGAUGGCAGAGAAGCACAUGUAAAGAUGCCAAACCUUAUUAGUAGUUAAGGAAACAUAGAAUGAAACCAUAGCGAGACACUGCUGUCUGCCUAUUAAAUGGCUUAAAAACCCCACAGAAACAAAGAAGCCUGUUGACACCACAGGAGGAGGAAGUGGAGCCACUGAACACUCAUUGCAGGCUGGAGGGUGCAGAAUGGCGUAGACCCCAUAGAAAACAGUGUGCAGUUUCUUGUAAACAUAUUCUUGGCACAGAAUAUAGUGGUCUCAUUCCUAUGUGUUUAGUUGAGAUGAACAAAAAUUUGUUUACACAAAACCUUGGAUGCAAAUGCUUAUAUAUCAGUUUUAUUUGUUUUUUAAAAAAACAAAAACUGGAGACAACUGAGGUGGCCCUCAUCUGGGGAAUGGAUGAACAAUUUAUAGUACACCCUCAUAAGGAAUACUACUCAGCAGUAAAAAAGAAAUGAGCUAAGGCUAUACACAACAAUACACACACAUUGCACAAGCAUCAUGCUAAUUGAAAUGCAGUUUGGCCAGACUCGAAAGGCUGUAGGGUUCUGUUUGUGUUUGGGAAAAGGUGAAAAUAUACGGAAAGGGUUUUGCCAGGACUUUGAUGGGGGAUGAGUUGGGGUUUUGUUUUGCUUUGUACUAGGGAUUGAAUCCAGGGGCGCUUUACCAGUGAGCCAUGUCUCAAGCCCUUUCUAAAUACUUUAUCUGUCUAGAUGUAGGGGCUCACUAAGUUGCUGAGGCUGGUUUUGAACUCCUGAUCCUCCUGCCUCAGCCUUCCCAGCUGUGGAAUUAUUGGCGUGGGCCACCAGGGCUGGUACAUCAGAAAGAGUGGAUUGUACUUGAAUUCCAACCUAAAUUUCAAAAAGGUAAUGAAUUCAGAAAGCAAAUCCUUUUCUAAUGCCUACAUGUUACCAUGAUCUGGAGAUGAUCCAGCUCUGGAUGUGUCCAGGAGAUGGCUGCCAUAGUGACUGCCAGUCAUGUGGCACAGUGUUUUCACCAUGGAAAUUGGGACAUGCUGCAGAUCAACUUACCACUUUGUUCAUAGUCUAGACUUAAGAAAAUGAUGAGGAAAAAGUUAACAAUGCCAGUUAAAAGUAAGUUGUUUAUAGCAGUGAUAUUGUCAAUAGCACAAAAAAUGGAGAGAGUCAUUUUACAGUAAUUCACAACUGCUGAUUCCACAAAGUUACUCAUUUUCUAACAAGUACAAUUCCACCAUAAGGGUUUGUUGUUUCAUCUUGCUCCUUAAGGUAAACAAAAAUAUAGGUCAAGCAACAUUCAUGUCGGAACUAGACUCAUUUGUCAGUGGCAGCCAUAGGAUGGCUAUGGAAACGAGCGCUGCAAAAAUCAGUGAAAGCCUUUAUAAGAAUCAGUCAGCUAGGCGAAGUUCAAAGUAGAGUGUUGUGUAUUUUAAUAUUAUUUGUAAACUGUGUGCUUUACUCCUUUAUAGCAAUAUAAUGCAUAAUAAAGGAAUGUAUGUGUGCAUAUACACACACACGUGUGUACACACACACACACACACACACACCCUUACCCUUUCCUGCCCCAGAGAGCUGUCUGUUAAACAUUUGCUAGCACACCACUGCCUGGGACCAUCAGCCUGGAGGCUGAUGUGGUUGGACACAGAGAAGAGGAGGACCCAAAUCCAAGGUCCAAGCCCUGGAACUCGUCCACACCAGAGACCUCAAGGAGAACAAGCUGGGUAGGAGCAGAAGCGAGGGGGAAGUGGUCACUGUCAUCUCAUGUAAGGGACCUCUGAGGCUACAGUACGGGUGGUAAGAACCUGGGGCAUUAGGGUCUUGAAUCUGGUGGUGGCCUGGGCCACUUGCCACUAGGCAACUUGGGUGAGCCCCUUCACCUUUCUCCGUCCCUUCUUCAGCUAGGAGGUUGGAGGAGUGGUGCUAGCACUGGCACGUCACCAGUUUUGGAGAUGAAAUGAGGUGAUAUGGUAAAGCCAGACACUGGCCCUGGGGUGCCAGCACGUGGCAGCUCCUCUCCUGUGAGGAGGUAGCCCUGGCCUGGGUGGAGAUUGGAGCAGGCUGGAGGCUGUGGGCACAAGGGCUGCAGAGGUGAGGGGGCCUUUGAAGUAUCUGCCUGGGGCCACAGGAGCCACCCCAGGGUGGGUGGUUAGUAGUGGGAGGGGGGAGCCCACCUGAGGAAGGCACAGGCACUGCCAGCGAGGGGGAUGCUGAGGGUUCUGCAUGAGGUCGGUGUGUGCAGGUGGUGGGGAAGCAAGUUGGAGGGGCCACAAGAGCUGUGUGACAGGCACCGUGGGGUAGAGGGAGCUGGGACUUGGCUUCUGUCCCCAGGCCUCACUCUGGGUGUGUCAUUGAAACUGCUGAUAGCAACAGCAUGUAGGUCCUGGCCCAGAGCAAGUGUCUGAAUGCAGAGGCCAGGCAGUCCCCUUAGUGAACAGCGAAGGGGUGGGAACCAGCACUUCUCCAGAGCAGGGUGGGACACAGUGUCUCCUCACAUUCUGCCCAGGCUGCGCUGCUCGGGUCAGGGAUGACAGUAGGGUUUCAGGAUUAGGCUCAGCUUAGGCUCUCUAGGUCUCUGGAGGUGCAUCCUUGAUUGCCAGUUUUGGCGCUCUAGCAUCUUUGAUAGAGUGGUUUAAAUCAAUAAAUGUUAACAUAACUCUAUGAUUUUUUGUCCUUUUCUGGACACAGGAGAAGAACAGAGCCAGUGCUGAGUUCCUGAACAGAGGGACUCCUGCUUCCAAGGAGGCAGGUGCUGUGAUGGUCCCUGGAGGUGCUGCUGGGGCAGGGGAGGGAACAGGCCAAGGGGACAAGGGACAGUGGGGCUGCUGUUUCUCACUGUGCUAUAAAGGAUGACUAAAUGAUCCAUAAGUUAAUAUUAAAAUAUUAUCGUAAUAUUAUAAUAUCAGCACAUCAAACAAUAGAUACUGCUUAAAAAGAAGCUUAAAUUUUAAAAAUUUGACUUCUUAAGCUGGGCUGUACACCAAUAGUUCCAGCAGCUUGGGAAAAUGAGGUAGAAAGGUCAGUUGAGUUCCAAGGCCAGCCUGGGCAAAAUAUCGAGACCCCUGUCUCAAACAAAACAAACUUGUAAAUAAUAGCAUCAAGGUCAAGAGAGACUAUAGGGAUGGUGAGGCCUGGGGAAUGCCUGUGACACAUAUGGGUUGGAAGAAUGCGGCUCCGUAACGGGCUCCCUGUGAGAGCCGGGGCCCUCUGGGAAAUGCUUCUAGAGGGCAGUGUGAGUGCAGAUGGCAGGGCCCCAGGGCUGGACACAAAAAAGAGUGGUCAGAUGGUUAAGGGGGCAGCCAGACAGGCCUUUGACAGGGGUUUGAGGCAGUCAAAUAAGUGAAGCUGUUCAGGAGCCUCUGCAAUGACCCCAGUAAGGGGUUCAGGCCAGUGGCUGGGCUGAGAGCUGGGGCCUGGGGUCUUGCUGGGGUGGGGUGGUGGACAUCAGAUGAAACAGAUGGAGACAGACUGGAUCUGGUGCUGAGGUGUGGGAGACAGUUUUGGAGUGUGACAAACUAAAGAACAAAAGCCAAUGAGAGGGCUGGGGGUGUGGCUCAGUGGUAGAGCACUGUCCUAGCAUGUGAGAGGUACAAUUCUCAGCACCACAUAUAAAUAAGCAAAAUAAAGGUCCACUGACAAAUAAAAUUAAAAAAAAUAAUAAUAAUAAUGAGAAGAACAUCCCCGAGUGUCAGCAGAGGCCAGGUAAAGGGAGGCUGCUGGUUAAGUAGCCACAGAAUGCGGAGCAACUAUAUCCCUAGUGCUUUCCAUGUGUGGGAAGUAUGCUGGACCUUGGUGAUUCUGUGGUGAACAAAAUAAAGAUUUGCUGCCCACAGAGAGUACACAACAGAAACAAAUACGGAUACGUAGAGUUCAAAGCCAUGAAGAGAGGACACCAUAAGGAUGGCAGUCCUUCUUAUAAGGUGACUUUUGAUGAGACAGUUGAAGGAAAUGCUAGAGAAUUCACAGGGCUCCCUUGGGAAGUAUUUUCUGGGCUGGGGACCUCAUGUACACAGGCUGAGGCAGGAAACACUUGGCAUGUUGAAAGAAUGUCAGUGAGACCAGGAACAGAAAGAGAAUGAUGAAGAAUGGUUAGAGAGAAAGGCCAGAGGGUGCAGAGCCAUAGCCAUUACUGAAGACCUUGACUUUUACUGAGGGCCCGAAAAUCAAUGCAAAGUUUGGGCUCAGGGGGAGACGUGAACUGGCUUCUGGGUCAGGGAGGCUGCUGCUGGCUGGCAGCCCACCUCCUGGUCGCACCAGCAUAGGUCUGUGACCAACAAUGUAGCAGCAGUGAUGGGGAAUCACUUUCCAGAUCGGGUUUUAAAAGAACACUGUGGCUUCCAUCUGGCUGCUGCUGCUCUCAGAUCCUUCACUUCAGGGGAAGCCAGCUGCCAUGUUGUGAGCUGUUCUUUGGAAGGUCCCACAAGGCAAGGAUCUGAGGCCUCUGCCAACAGCAGCAUCAACUAGCUUGGAAGUAGAUAACCCGCCCCCCCCCCACAGUCAAGCUGACACCAUAGCCUUAACUGAUGUCAUGGUCAUGAGACCCUGAACCUUGACCACCCAGCCAAGUUGCUCCCGGGUUCUUGACCUUCAGAAACUGUGUUUUAGCUGCUAAGUUUUGCAAAUCUGUUUAAACAGCAAUAACUGAUAACAUGACCCGGAAUGUAAACAGAGGUGGUAUAGGAAAAGUAGGAAGAUCUUAUAUUUUAAAAAGAGAUUGUUUUGCUUUUUUGAUAUUUGGCCAGAGAAAUGAGGUGACUAGUAGUGCCAGCUAGUGAGGUGGGGAAAAUAGCAAGAAGGGCUUUGGGCAUGAGUGGUAGAGGGCAGUGAUGGCAGUGUGGUCCAGACGGGUCAAGCUUGAGAUGUUAUUAGGCAUCCAAGUGACAGUGUAAAAGAUAGGAAUAGAGGCUGAAUUAGAAGAGUGAGCAUUGACAGAGAAAGGAAGAGGCCCAGGUACAGACACGCCCUUCAACACAGAAAAGCUGUUGGUGAAGACAGAAAACCCAGGGGAGGCAUCUGGAAAUGGAAGUGCUUUGCGCAAGGACUGGUCCCCCUGACCAUUCCUUGGGUGUGGUCAGUGGGAUCGUGGAAGAAAAAGCCAGUGUUGCAGUGUGGAAGGCAAGAGGGAUGAAGCUAGAGCAGGCAAGAUGACAGCUGACUGAAGUGACAGAACUUACAUAAAGGUGACAAUGACAAUAGCCAUUUCUUUAAGGAGUUUUGACUAAGAAGGGGAUGGUUGUUGGGAAGAGACAGGGAGCUAAGGUGAGUUUUUAGUUCUAAGGCACUUAUUUUCAUGGCAUGGUUGAAUGUUAAGAAAAAAAUGUAGAAGAGAAAGGAAGAAUCAAUUGUGCCUCCAAGGUCUUGAUGCGAACCUUGAAGAAUGUUCAUGUGAGUUCCCAAGAUGGAGGUACAGGUUGGGAUAUUCAAUGGGACAAGGGUGUGGCCUGUCAUGAGCCUAUGAGGCAAUAUGGCCCUCCCUAAAACUAUGGGCAUAGUGUCCCUCACUGAGCAACUGUCCUGGGAGAAGAUGGGGAGGGCGCAGAUGCUAUGACAAGUCCAAGAGUAUUGUGGUUCUGGUGACUGAUAUAGGGUUUCUCACACCCUAGGCAAGUGCUGCACCACUGAGCUGCAACCCAGUCCCCAAGACGCUUCCUGAAAGCAGAUACAGUGACUUCAGCCUCUUAUAUUUGGUUUCAUAGUGGACUUUAUUGGGAAAAGCUAGUGUAAAAAACAUUCAAAUUAAUAAAAUUUAAAUAAGACAGUAAAAGUAUACCUUGUAGCUAUAGUAAUCAAUGUAGUAAUCACAAAUAAGGUAAAAUCUAAAUUAUGGCCUAAGCAAACAUAUUCAUUCUGUCAGGCUUCUAUUGCAAGCCUAAGGCAGGAAACACUGCAAUUAUUAGAAGUGAGCCCAAUGAUGACUUUGCCUAUGCAGUUGGGGAGAAAAAAGCAUGUUCAAAUUAUGGCAUCCCAACAUCCCAGCCUGAAAAAAGCAACAUUAUUA
rnacentral:lncRNA from 1 species